GAACUGGGUCAGCAUGGUUCCGGGCAUGGAAGAUCCACCUGAGGGAUGUUACCAAAAUGACAUAAAAGGAGAACUGGAGAGGAAAACUGCACGCUGAUGAUUUUCCUGAAGAAGAUGCUUUUCAGAGGUUUUUUCUUCAAAAGAGCUUUGGCUGCAGCUGCCUUCCUUCGAGAGAGCGUCAGUCCUCAUCUUCAUCCUGGAUGUAAUCUCCUGGCUCCAGUGCGGAUCUCUCAGCCUUCGGUCUACCUUCCCACAGUUCGAUCUUCAAAUGGGGGCUGACAAAUCUUUCCAUUGAACAAGUUUGACCUUCACUGAGUAUCACCAUGACAAAUUUCAAAUUCCUCAAUAUGACCUAAAGUCUUUCAAGGUAUCAUUUCUUGCUACUACCUGAUUCUCAUCUCACUUUCUAACUAUUAUUAAACUUAUAUUUGGUUGUUUGAAUGAAUAAAUAAAUGAGAUCAAGAAAAAAUAAUAA
rnacentral:lncRNA from 1 species